rnacentral:tRNA from 1 species
UAUCUAAUAUGGCAGAUUAGUGCAAUGGAUUUAAGCUCCAUAUAUAAAGUAUCACUUUUAUUAG